rnacentral:rRNA from 1 species
UGGCGGACGGGUGAGUAACGCUGGGUAACUGCCUUGUACUGGGGCGAACAGUUAGAAAUGACUGCUAAUACCGCAUAAGCGCACAGUAUCGCAUGAUACGGUGUGAAAAACUCCGGUGGUACAAGAUGGACCCGCGUCUGAUUAGCUAGUUGGUAAGGUAACGGCUUACCAAGGCGACGAUCAGUAGCCGACCUGAGAGGGUGACCGGCCACAUUGGGACUGAGACACGGCCCAA